GUGAGGAAUUUUCCGCAAUGGGCGAAAGCCUGACGGAGCAAUGCCGUGUGAAGGAUGAAGGCCUAUGGGUUGUAAACUUCUUUUCUCAGAAAAGAAUUAUGACGGUAUCUGAGGAAUAAGCAUCGGCUAACUCUGUGCCAGCAGCCGCGGUAAGACAGAGGAUGCAAGCGUUAUCCGGAAUGAUUGGGCGUAAAGCGUCUGUAGGUUGUUUAAAAAGUAUUCUGUCAAAGAUUAGGGCUUAACCCUAGAUAGGCAGAAUAAACUUUUAAGCUAGAGUUUGGUAGAGGCAGAGGGAAUUCCCGGUGGAGCGGUGAAAUGCGUAGAUAUCGGGAGGAACACCAAAGGCGAAGGCACUCUGCUGGGCCAAUACUAACACUGAGAGACGAAAGCGAGGGGAGCAAAUGGGAUUAGAAACCCUUGUAGUCC
rnacentral:rRNA from 1 species